AGAGUUUGAUCCUGGCUCAGAUUGAACGCUGGCGGAAUGCUUUACACAUGCAAGUCGAACGGCAGCACGGACUUCGGUCUGGUGGCGAGUGGCGAACGGGUGAGUAAUGCGCCGGAACGUAUCCAGUAGAGGGGGAUAACGCAGCGAAAGCUGUGCUAAUACCGCAUACGCCCUGAGGGGGAAAGCAUGGGAUCUUCGGACCAUGCGUUAUUGGAGCGGCCGACGUCUGAUUAGCUAGUAGGUGAGGUAAAGGCUCACCUAGGCGAUGAUCAGUAGCUGGUCUGAGAGGAUGAUCAGCCACACUGGCACUGAGAUACGGGCCAGACUCCUACGGGAGGCAGCAGUGAGGAAUAUUGCGCAAUGGGGGAAACCCUGACGCAGCAACGCCGCGUGUGGGAAGAAGGCCUUCGGGUCGUAAACCACUUUUACUCGGGACGAAAAAGGGAUAUCAAAUAAAUAUCCCCGAUGACGGUACCGUGAGAAUAAGCCACGGCUAACUCUGUGCCAGCAGCCGCGGUAAGACAGAGGUGGCAAGCGUUAAUCGGAAUUACUGGGCGUAAAGCGUGCGCAGGCGGUUUGAUAAGACAGAUGUGAAAUCCCCGGGCUCAACCUGGGAACUGCAUUUGUGACUGUCAGACUAGAGUGUAGCAGAGGGGGGUAGAAUUCCACGUGUAGCAGUGAAAUGCGUAGAGAUGUGGAGGAAUACCGAUGGCGAAGGCAGCCCCUGGGCUAACACUGACGCUCAUGCACGAAAGCGUGGGGAGCAAACAGGAUUAGAUACCCUGGUAGUCCACGCCCUAAACGAUGUCAACUAGGUGUUGGGGAAGGAGACUUCUUUAGUACCGCAGCUAACGCGUGAAGUUGACCGCCUGGGGAGUACGGUCGCAAGAUUAAAACUCAAAGGAAUUGACGGGGACCCGCACAAGCGGUGGAUUAUGUGGAUUAAUUCGAUGCAACGCGAAAAACCUUACCUACCCUUGACAUGUCAGGAAGAUUCCAGAGAUGGGAUUGUGCCCGAAAGGGAACCUGAACACAGGUGCUGCAUGGCUGUCGUCAGCUCGUGUCGUGAGAUGUUGGGUUAAGUCCCGCAACGAGCGCAACCCUUGUCCUUAGUUGCCAGCGGUUCGGCCGGGCACUCUAGGGAGACUGCCGGUGACAAACCGGAGGAAGGUGGGGAUGACGUCAAGUCCUCAUGGCCUUUAUGUCCAGGGCUACACACGUGCUACAAUGGCGCGUACAGAGGGAAGCCAAGCCGCGAGGUGGAGCAGACCCCAGAAAGCGCGUCGUAGUUCGGAUUGCAGUCUGCAACUCGACUGCAUGAAGUCGGAAUCGCUAGUAAUCGCGGAUCAGCAUGCCGCGGUGAAUACGUUCCCGGGCCUUGUACACACCGCCCGUCACACCAUGGGAGUGGAUUGUACCAGAAGCAGCUAGCCUAACCUUCGGGAGGGCGGUUACCACGGUAUGGUUCAUGACUGGGGUGAAGUCGUAACAAGGUA
rnacentral:rRNA from 1 species